GCAGGAAGCCUGCACCACCCUGGGAAGCUGGCGGCUCUGCACAGGAUGGCCCUCUCUGGCCUGGCUUUCUCCUUUUGUGGAUAGGGAACAGUCCCCCCCGCCAACAACAGACAGGGGUGUCGGAAUGCCCUCUGGGAGCCUUUUAGAGAGCUGGGCAGAUCCUGGGGAUGGGUCAGGCCUCCGGGGACCCCCUCAAGUCCUGGAAGAUGACCUUCUCUGUGGGCUGGGGGAGACAGACGAGAGGGUAGACGGAACAGCCCUCCAGCUCUGGACGUGGAGGCAGGACCCUGAGUGCUUAGAAGGGAAUGAUAGGCCACCUCAUUCACAAUGGAAGGAAACUGAGGCACAGCCACAAAAUAAUAAAGUCUUGGGCAUGCUGAGUGCCUAUAGUAAGCCAGGCGCUGUGCUGAGC
ensembl:lncRNA